AUCAUGGAAUGGAGCUGGACCUUCCUCUUCCUCCUGUCAGUAACUGCAGGGGUCCACACCCAGGUUCAACUGCAGCAGUCUGGAGCUGAGCUGGUAAAGUCUGGGGCUUCAGUGAAGAUAUUUUGCAAGGCUUCUGGCUAUGACUUCACCAGCUAUGAAAUGAGCUGGGUAAAGCAGACACCCACACAUGGCCUGGAAUGGAUUGGAGCUAUUAAUCCUGCAACUGGUGGUACUGGUUACAAUCAGAAGUUCAAGGGCAAGGCCACCUUGACUGCAGACAAAUCCUCCAACACAGCCUACAUGGAGCUCAGAAGCCUGACAUCUGAGGACUCUGCUGUCUAUUACUGUACUAGACACAGUGUUUUAACCACAUCCUGA